CUUCCUUAGUUUCUUGUGAUUAAGUUGUUUCAGGUUCUUGGGGUUGAACGGAAUGCAAGUCAAUGUGAAAUUCAGAAAUCUUUUCAUAAGUACUAUUUGGGAAUUUCACUGAGGCCUAGUUUGGUAUAAUUUUAAAAAGUCAAAAAGUCACUAUCCUAUUUAAGUCAUAUCAUCUUAUUUAAAUCACAUCAUCUCUCUAUCACAUCACUUCAAACUCAAUUCAUAUUUUACGUUUUUUCGUAAAAAAUCAAAAAGUGCAUUUAUUUAAAUCAUUCCAAAUAUACCCCUGAGGAUGAAACCAGGUCAUGGCUCAAAACAGUCAUCUGAAAAGACUGAGAAGCAUGUGGAAAAGAAAGAAUUGGAAGUUAGUUCUUCAAAUGUUGUGAUUGGAUUAUGUUUUGGGUGGCAAUUUGGAUUUAAUGUUACCUUGCACUGACAUAUAUUUGGUGAUUUUUUUUAAAUUUUUUUUUGGAUUGAAGAGUACAUAUAUUUUGUGUAGUACAAAUCUCAUGAAAUGUACAAUUAUAUUGGAUAUAUAAAAAAUGUGAUUAGCUUAAUA